rnacentral:rRNA from 1 species
UACGUAGGGAGCAAGCGUUGUCCGGAAUCAUUGGGCGUAAAGCGCGCGUAGGCGGCCUUGUAAGUCCGUUGUGAAAGUCAAAGGCUCAACCUUUGAAAGCCGAUGGAUACUGCAAGGCUGGAGUCCGGAAGAGGCGAGUGGAAUUCCUGGUGUAGCGGUGGAAUGCGCAGAUAUCAGGAGGAACACCGGUGGCGAAGGCGGGUCUCUGGGCCGAAAUUGACGCUGAGGAGCGAAAGCGUGGGGAGCAAACAGG